rnacentral:sRNA from 1 species
AACCUGGACUGUGUUAUCUUUUCCAGGUGCAAGUAUGUGCUAUGGUUACCUCCUUUUAUCAGUGGCUUGUGUUCCAGCUGACAGCUCCAGGCCCUGUUUGAAUAAUUCGAAGGCAAUCCUUAGUUAGGGAAGCAAGCUUUAAUUAUCACUGGGGAACAGAAGGCCGCAUCUUCGAGGAAUUUGGCAGACCUCAGCAGGGGGCAACCACAGGCCUUUGGCAAAAGAUCACUUUUCAACAACAUUGUCAAUUCCAGUGACCCCCGACCUUCCACCUGCAGGUCCCUGAACAGCUGCUGUUCUGUGGGAAGCAGUGGCAGUCUGUCUUCCUUUAAAAGGCACAUGCACACUCUGUCCCUGCUGCCUGCUGAGAUCCCACCUGGGACCUCAUCCCCAGAGCUGGGGGUCAUCUCCCAUAUAGAGAAAUCAAGAAAAAUAAGGGAGGGGGGCAGGAGAGGACAGCUUUGACAACAGUCCCUGAACUUUCCCUUUUAAUAUAAGCCAGAUUUAACAUAUGU